rnacentral:rRNA from 2 species
GGAAGAGAUAAGUGCUGAAAGCAUCUAAGCACGAAACUUGCCCCGAGAUGAGUUCUCCCUGACUCCUUGAGAGUCCUGAAGGAACGUUGAAGACGACGACGUUGAUAGGCCGGGUGUGUAAGCGCAGCGAUGCGUUGAGCUAACCGGUACUAAUGAACCGUGAGGCUUAACCUUACAACGCCGAAGCUGUU